UACAGAGGUGGCAAGCGUUGUUCGGAAUUACUGGGCGUAAAGGGCGCGUAGGCGGUCAGGUCAGUCCCGUGUGAAAUCCCUCGGCUCAACUGAGGAACUGCACGGGAAACCCCAUGGCUAGAGUCCGGAAGAGGAGAGUGGAAUUCCUGGUGUAGCGGUGAAAUGCGCAGAUAUCAGGAAGAACACCAAUGGCGAAGGCAGCUCUCUGGGACGGUACUGACACUGAGACGCGAAAGCGUGGGGAGCGAACAGG
rnacentral:rRNA from 1 species